ACUUAUAUAGUUAAAGAAAAAUAAAGUACAAAUUCAUUUAAUCUCAGUAUAACCUAAUCUAAUACGUAUGCAUGAUAUAUCGGUGACAUACUGGAAAUAUACCAUUAACGUUCUACAGAUAUUCUUAGUAUAUAUCAUAGGAUCUUCUCAGUAUAUACUAGGAACUAAAACAGUAGGACAUUAGAGCAUUCUUAGCAUAGAUCUUAUAUACCUGGAUAGGCCUUUUCCUGUAGAGAGAAAGAGUGAGAAAAUGUCCAUUCAUCGUCUAUUCUUCAGUUUACAGUAUACGAAAUGCAUGCGCGAAAUGAUGUAUUAAAAAUGGCCAACAGUUUGGUUUCACGUAUUGUCAUGGAUAUAACCUAUACAGGGUGAAUCUUAAUUCCUGCGACAACGUUUUACCAUGGAAGAUGGGUUACCGACCGCAGCAGUGAUGAAUCGAUCGAUCCAUAGAUGUCAGCCGCUUGGAUCGACCGUGCGUCUGGUAAUGUACAGCAAAGCGCAAAUAUUGAAGUCAUAGUGCUUAAGGGGAUGCUGGAGCUGCUAGUGAACUGUUUCGUGAAAGUGCUGCCACUUCGAUGGAACUAAAAUAUCAGUGGCUGACAGAAUUGACAUUACCGACAUGUCGGGAAGACGUGAAUGCUUCAAAACUCUGAAGCAUUUGGAACGUCAACUGGACUGUAGGAAGUCUUUCAACAUUUAGGCAAAAAGCGAAGGUGCAACGCAUCCGGAAACAACGUAUCUGGAAACGACGACGGCGAUAAUACCACCGCCACCACCAUUGCAACCACCACCGCUGACGGAGCAACACACAACGACGACGGCGAUGGUACCAUCGCCACCACCAUCGUAACCACCACCGCCGACGGGGCAACAAACAACGACGACGACGGUGACGAUACCACCGCCGACGGGGCAACAAACAACGGAUCAUCCACCGUCACGGGAUGCAAGAAAAGGAAGAGGAAGAGGAAGAGGGGCGCCCGUAUCGCAUAAACAAGUGAAAAAUAUCAUUCGUCGGGCGCUGCAAGUGGAGAGGAGGAGAAUGGGGUAUACACUAUCCCCACCACCGCCGCCUCCCACACCGUAUGCACCGUACGCACCGUACCCAUAUCCAUACAGAUAUUAAAAAUUGUCUUUAAAAAUAUGCCUUCUCCAUUCCAUUCUAUAUAAUAAAUAUCAUAUAAAAAAUA